GUCGAAGGGGUCUCCCACGGUGCGCACCUUGGCUCGCUCAACACUGCGCUCCACAAACUCAUCGUACACAGCAUCCUCUACAAAGAUCCUCGAGCCAGCACAGCAGCACUGGCCCUGGAGAGAAGAGGGAGUGAGAGGGCUCCAAGGUAGUACAACCUUACCUGGUUGAAGAAGAGGCCAAAGUGGGAGGUCUCAAUGGCAUGGUCCAAGUCUGCAUCCUUGAACACAAUGUUGGGACUCUUGCCGCCCAGCUCCAGAGUGACCCUCUUCAGGUUGCUGGCACCGGCCGCCUGCUGCACCAGGUGUCCAAUCUGCCGACAACACAGGCCAGGGUUGUGGUGCCAAUACUAUUGCUCCUUCACCACUAGAACUUGUAAUACUAAGCAAAAGUAAACAAAAUACUGAAAAUCUAUUUGCUUCAUCUUGAUUUACAAAUACAGAUUUUGACAUUUACCUCAUUAAAUGGAAAAUAUUAAAA